rnacentral:lncRNA from 1 species
AAUAAUUAGCAGCUGCCAAAACUAUAACGCUUACAAAUUAGCAGUUUUUAAAAUUUAAACUAUCAAUCUGAUUGAUAAUUUGAAUAUGAUUUAAGCUAUUGAUCAGGUUAUGCUCCUUUUAUGUGUGACCCCUCAGAUUCUAUUUUGUCUGGUAGUGAGAUAUACCGUGAUCUUCAUCACAGUAUCAUCAAAACUCUUUUCGAUGGGCU